rnacentral:lncRNA from 1 species
CCGAAGGCAAUCCGACCAUCUCACCGCACAGGCAGCCGCUACUCGUCCAUCCUAUCAUCUAUCGCUGCAUUGACCACCGGCUCACCUAGCAAGUGGAUUCUCUUGGUCCAAAGCUCUGUGUUUGCGUUGAUUUUCUACAGUGCAGAGUACCCGCAUCCCCUCUAUAGAUUUCAACAUGAAGACUUGGACAUUGCUUCUGGUGGUUGUCGUGAUGGCAGUUGUCAUGACAGCGGUUGCUAUGGAGGAAGAGGACAACGAUGACUGGUUUGAGAACAUGAUACAAGAAUACAAGAGAAGGCCGCGCCCUCCACCGCGUAACCUAUCAUCUCGAAUGCAGUGUACUGGGUAUGGGAAGCCGUGCGCCAUUAAGAACAGGAAGCACAAUUGCUGCCAAGGUAUGGGUUGCUACAGUGGCACUGGCGACGACUGUUACGGGAAUUCACGAUGCAUUUGUAUGAAAACUCCCGCGCUGAGGUACAUCUACAACUUGUAAAGGGCGCCACCAUGCGGUUCUAAGGAGCGUUAACAUCAAAGAACCGAGAUAUAAACGGCAACAAGUGUCAGCAUAGAACAUAACAUGGCCUAAAUGUAUAACGAAUAUUUUAAUUUAUCACUUUAUAUAACUUAUGGAUUGGGAUCGAUACAUUUUCACUGAACCUGACAACUAUUAUCACUUUUUUAUGAAUAUAUAUACGGCAAAUAGUAGUCUUUAAGCAAUGUACUCUGCAGAACAUCCGAGUAGCAAAGAUAACUAACCUGGAAACGUACAGUAAAAAGUCAACAAAUCGUCUGACAGUCAUGUACAUUACUGCAUUAAUGUAUUACCAACGAUGAGUUGUGGCUGCAACAUUCUGCCGCAGUUUAUAUAUAAGUGAGCAAUGAAUUUUUCUGCAUCCAGGUUAGCCAGUGACCAUAAUGCGCAUGCGUCAGUUGGUAAAGAAAUGGGAGGUCCCUUUUAAAAAAAAAUCCGCUGCAGCCAUGAAUCAAGCACAAUUUAGGAAAGAAAACAACUUUAACUUCCAGUAAUCCAACCCCAACAUGCAGCAUUCUACAUUGUGACCACUGACCUAACGUAUAGCUUCGAUCUUCGCCGGAUAUCUAAACCAUAUAAAGUUAUUUCAAAUCACAUGAUGUAUUAAUUCAAUUACGCAAUAUAUUUCACGCAUGCGACUUAUGGUAUAUGAGUUUACUAGCCUGCAGAAAAAAAUCACCUAUUGCUGCCAGGCGCGGUAAGCCGCCGCGAUGAUAGAGGGCGCUAUCAACAAGAUGAUUCCGAUACAGUCUCGGGAAGUUUGGCGGCGCACCAAAGAAAUUGCGAGCUUAAUUACAAGCGUGCAUUAGCUUGAAUGUAGACCUUUCUUUGGUUGGCACUUUUUGCCCACCACGGGUUGGCAAGACAAUAUUAUGAGCCAAAAUAAAUAGUUAUUAAUGUUUCCAAACAUAUCAAUGGGUUAUUGACAAUACAAAAUUAGCAACAAAAGCUACAAAGACUUAAUAAAAAAAGACUUAAUAAAAAUGGCGCUCAAUUCUUACGUAACAAGAAAGGUCCAUAGUGAGUGUAACGUAUGCUCAUCUUGUUGGUAGCGCUUACCAGGGAUCGGGACCGACUGCAUUAGGGGAGCAGUCUUGAACCAAGUCUAGUGAUUCUAUACUACCCUAAACUGCAAGGAAGAUGCCACAAAAUUGCUGCGAAGGAGUGCAGCCAAUCUCUAUUUUUGUAAAUUAAAGCCACGUAGGAUCAUUUUCAAUUACAUGGAAAAAGUACCUCUACCAAUUCAAGAACAGAAACCUUUCUCAAGUGUUCUGUAUUGUCCCCAGCGCAAUUAGAAACAUGCACCAUUCUUAAUCCCAAAAUACGGAUUAAAUGAAUUGAGGUACUUACUGAUCGAGUACAUAUAGUGCGCCCUCACUUGUCUUCUAUAGUUAAUUGAUAUGCGAUGUUAUUAUAACUUUGCUACCCUGUAAAUUCCUGUUAGUUUCUCAGAAAAGUACAGCAAAUCUUGCUUUCAGAUACCUUGAAUAAUUAAGAAAAAUAGUUUCCCGUAUAGCGAAAACUAUUUGUUUAUGUUGCACGUUCCUCAUCUAUAUACUUACAGAAAUGCAUCAAAGAUAACCUUUUCCAUGUAAUAAAAGCCUAUUGAUUUUUUAAUUGAUGAGAAAAACAGACAUGAUUAGUAAGGAAACUACUCUUCAAAUUUUUGCUUGCUCAAGAGUCGAUGGGUUAAUUGUAAAUAUAUCUUUUGUAGGGGGUUAUUACUAACCAGUGUUGAGAUUGUUGUAGUGCAGUCUUUUUCCAAGUCGGCCAGCUGUAGUGAAUAUUUUUUUUGGGGUGGACUGUUACGUCACCUUCUAACAUUCGCUAUUGCUAUUUGAAUUCAUUUUGUGGUUUUUUUUGCAAUUUUAUUUGGGGACGGGGGCGGGGAGGGGGG